rnacentral:rRNA from 1 species
GCUCAGAACUCAAAUGAAUUGACGGGGCCGCACAAGCGGUGGAGCAUGUGGUUUAAUUCGAUGAUACGCGAGGAACCUUACCUGGGCUCAAAUGUAUGUUGACGUAUUCUGAAAGGGAUACUUCUUCGGACAAUAUACAAGGUGCUGCAUGGUUGUCGUCAGCUCGUGCCGUGAGGUGUCGGGUUAAGUCCCAUAACGAGCGCAACCCCUAUCAUUAGUUGCCAUCAGGUCAAGCUGGGGACUCUAAAGGAACUGCCUACGCAGGUAGUGAGGAAGGCGGGGAUGACGUCAAAUCAGCACGGCCCUUACGUCCAGGGCUACACACGUGCUACAAUGGCCGAUACAGAGGGCAGCUACCUGGUGACAGGAUGCAAAUCUCCAAAGUCGGUCUCAGUUCGGAUCGGAGUCUGCAACUCGACUCCAUGAAGUUGGAAUCGCUAGUAAUCGUGGAUCAGCAUGCCACGGUGAAUACGUUCCCGGGCCUU